rnacentral:rRNA from 1 species
UGGGGAAUUUUGGACAAUGGGCGAAAGCCUGAUCCAGCAAUGCCGCGUGUGUGAAGAAGGCCUUCGGGUUGUAAAGCACUUUUGUCCGGAAAGAAAUCCUCUGGGUUAAUACCUCGGGGGGAUGACGGUACCGGAAGAAUAAGCACCGGCUAACUACGUGCCAGCAGCCGCGGUAAUACGUAGGGUGCAAGCGUUAAUCGGAAUUACUGGGCGUAAAGCGUGCGCAGGCGGUUUUGUAAGACGGAUGUGAAAUCCCCGGGCUUAACCUGGGAACUGCAUUCGUGACUGCAAGGCUAGAGUAUGGCAGAGGGGGGUAGAAUUCCACGUGAAGGCAGUGAAAUGCGUAGAGAUGUGGAGGAAUACCGAUGGCGAAGGCAGCCCCCUGGGCCAAUACUGACGCUCAUGCACGAAAGCGUGGGGGAGCAAAACAGGAUUCAGGAUAACCCUGGUAGUCCACGCCCUAAACGAUGUCAACUAGUUGUUGGGGAUUCAUUUCCUUAGUAACGUAGCUAACGCGUGAAGUUGACCGCCUGGGGAGUACGGUCG